GAGUCGCCCGUUGUCUGGCACGUGAGCCCGCUUCCGCGUCCUGCUGCCGUCGCCGCGGGGGGCGGCCGGGAGCCGGCGGCGGCGCGGGGAGGGGGCAGGAGCCCGAGGCCCGGGCCCUCCGGAGGGCGGCGCGGGUGCCCGCCAUGAGCCAGCCGGAGGGGAAGGGCAGCGGCGCCCUGGAGGUGAAGUUCGUGCCCGACGAGGAGGUCCUGAAGCACAUCACUGACGACGCAGGUAUUAAAGUAAGGAAGGACAAGACUCAGCUGACAGUCAGCGUGAAGAGAUUUGUGAAGAAGCUUGAGAAUAUUUCAGAUGAUGAAGCUCAGGAGAUCCUGGAAGAGAAGAACUAUGUUGCUGCUCUUGGAAUAUGUGCCCAAGAUCCAGUGGGAAAUGGCUCAAGUGUAAGUGGUGGUGAAGUUUACUCAUUCCAGACUCCCAAAUGCUCCAGCAAAAUGGCAGAGCUGGCCUCUGAAUUAGCCCAGACACCAGGACAGAGUGUUGCACCUGAUCACUCUGAGUGCCCUGAGAAGACAGCCAAAACCCCUCAAAGCAACAAACGUUCAAGUUCAAACAAAGCACAGCAGAGGAUUAAAAACAAAGAAUUUGUGUCUACCACACCUUACAGACUCAGAAAGAGGCUAGCAGCUCCAGAUCCCUAUUUAGAAAGUGAGAGUGAAUAUUCUGCUUCCUGCUCAGAGGAGGAGGAUGAGGAAGACCAGAAAGAAGUCAGCACUGUUUUAUCAGGUCGAAAGCCCCCAGCAAAAACUAAUGCUGCAUCUACGCCUCUUCCCAGAAACACCCUAGCCAAAAAAGUGAAGGACGACAAGAUGAGCAACCUGGUGGAGGAAUACUUUGAAGCUCACAGUAGUUCCAAAGUGCUCACUUCAGACCGAACGCUGCAGAAGUUGCGGAAAAGAAGAUUGAAUCAGCAAACACUGCAUGACCUUUUAAAAAAAGCUCCCCUUGCCUAUGCUGCUGAAAUUAAAGAGCUAAACCAGCAACACGAAUCCCUGUUUUCCAAGUGGAUGCUGCAAUUACACUUGGGUUUCAAUAUUGUGCUUUAUGGUCUGGGCUCAAAGCGUGAUUUGUUAGAGAAGUUUCGUACGUCUGUGCUCAAGGAUUCUGUUCACCUUGUGGUUAAUGGAUACUUCCCCAGCAUCACUGUGAGAUCUAUUCUCAACUCCAUCACAGAGGAGGUACUGAAUCAUAUAGGGACCUUCCGCAGCCCCCUUGACCAACUUGAAUUCAUCAUUAAAAGGUUUAAAGAAGAUUCAUCUUUACAGCUCUAUGUCCUCAUUCAUAACCUGGACAGCCAGAUGUUGAGAGGAGAAAGAAGUCAACGGAUCCUUGCACAGUUAUCUUCUCUGCCUAGCAUUUACCUCAUUGCCUCUAUCGAUCACAUCAAUGCUCCUCUCAUGUGGGAUCAGGCAAAGCUAAGCCUCUACAACUGGCUUUGGUAUGAAACAACCACAUUUAGUCCUUACGUGGAAGAAACGUCUUAUGAGAACUCGUUUUUAGUACAACAAUCUGGAUCUUUGGCUUUGAGCUCCCUAACACAUGUCCUGCGCAGUCUCACUCUCAAUGCCAGGGGGAUAUUCAGACUGCUUGCUCAGUACCAGCUGGAGAACAAGGACAACCCAUCUUAUCCAGGGCUGUCUUUCCAAGACUUUUACCAGCAGUGUCGGGAGGCUUUCCUUGUGAACAGUGACCUGACACUCAGGGCACAGCUGACAGAAUUCAGGGACCACAAACUCAUUCGGACCAAGCGGGGAGCUGAUGGUGUGGAAUACUUAUUAAUUCCUGUAGAUGACAGUACCUUGACCGACUUCUUAGAGAAAGAGGAUGAAGAUGUGUAACGUCUCUUUGUUCUCAAAGCAUCUAUGGCAAUUGCUCUCAAGGGCUGCUGGGGAGGGGCCUAUACUCAGAUCUCUCUCCCUCCAACCCCAAGGCUGCUGGACUACUUACUGAAAUGUAAUAAUUGCAAGGAACGAUGCUCGUUGUUCAACUACUUCAGGUAGUUUGGGAUGAUGACUUGUGUAAGCAAGGCAUCUCUUGCUCUGUAGUUAGAUUUGUCUGCUUUGUCUCUUAGCUCAGAUAAUGCCUUCUUCAUACCUAUGCAGCCAACCUUACAGCCAGAAAAACAAACUCGGUAAGAUUGUGCCUUCUGCUCUUUACCUCACCAGACAUGAGGGUUUGAUUGGAGCAGUUUACUUGGGAAAUGCAAAUCACUAGAUGGUCAGAACUUUAGUUUGUACUAGUGGUGCACCUUUUCUCAGCUGAGUGCUUUCCAGUACUCCUUUACCAGUUAGACAAGACUACCUUCCAGUGUAUGAAGAAGCCAAGAUUUAUAAUGCUAAGAGACCUGCCUUGACUGCAUGAGGAAAGGAGGAUACUAGUGGGUUUGGGACACUGUGGGUAACUUAUUAAAUUCUGGCAAUAGAACUGAAGGACUUGCCCCAAAUCCAAACCCUUUUGUAAGUAGGUAGAUUGAGAUAGAUAAUCAAAACUGUGAUGGACUCAAGUCAUUGCCUGUGGCGAGGGUGAGAGGAUCCAACAUCUUUCAUAUAUUUUCCAAGUUGCAAUCCAGGAAUAUGAAGAGGCUGUGAAUUUUUUUUAUUUUUUAAAAGCUUGAUUGUAUGUAUGUAUUUUUUACAUCAGGAGCGUCCACUGAUCCUGGAGGAGGCCUUAAAUGCCACUUAUAAGCUCUCCUUUUUUUUAAGCCCUUAGAGGUUGGGAGACUGCUAAAGUUUGACAGCUUUUCUUCACUUUUUUCUCAGUGACUAUUUUUCUAAAGAUAACGAAACAGCAACAUAAUCUUUUACCUGUGAGAUAGAGGUCAGCUUCCAUUCCCUUCAGGACGCUGCUCCCCGAACCAGCACACAGAGCAGCUUUCUUCACUGGCGAUUCUGCAGGAUACAAGGUGCCCCAGUAAAACUCCUUUCCCUCUGUUCAGCCCUCAUGUCAGUAUUGCUAUUAAUUGUUUCACAGUAACUACUACCUUGAUUUUAGGGUCAAUGUAAAUUUGUUGGAGGAAGAGACACAUCUGUCAGUUUGAAAGAGUCAUGGGCCUAUAACAUCUCUGAUAAUACAGCAAAAUCCUCUGUGUACCAAACAGAUGUGUAGAUUUUUUUCUUCAAGGGGUAGGAAAGUUUGCAGAAAGCUACAGCACAGAUGCUGGCUGCUGGCUAGUUCUCUCCUAGUAAGGUGUUAUUUAGCUACGUUUCUGAACCUUUUAAUAGGCUGCUACUCUUUCCAGGACUCUCAAGUUCCACCACCAUUAGUUUUCCAACUAAUGAUGUAACUAAGGCAGCAUUUUGCCUCUGAGAUAUACUGCUUCCUAACUUAAAGCUCUCAGAAGGCCAGUCUCAGUGCAAGCUGAGACCUGCUCUAUGCCAUUAAAAAUCUGCCCACUUGCUAUGAUUGCUGAUUCCAAACUAUUACAUAUGUGAUAGUGACAGGAAAUUUAAUUCUCCAUAUAUAUUACAUUCACUAGGGAGAGGGAACACAUGACACAAAGAGUUUUCAAAUUGUAGUUUGGAGUUUUUUUAGUGCAAUUGGUAGUAUAAGAGGCUUCUAAUAAGACUUUUGUCUCAUAAGUUACAAAGAGUUCUCCACAAAUUUGCUCUCACAAAUUCUAAUAGCUGUGUUCCUUGGACAUUAGGAUAGGUAACUGGGAUAAGAGGAUGCUUGUUCCACAUUCUACUAGUGACCCACUGUUUGAGCUAGGAUAGUUCACCUUCUUUGCCACUAUUUCAUCAAAACAUGGAUGGUUACAUGUUCAUAAGGAUACCAUAAAGCAUCUUACUAUUUUAAGGUGCUUUUAAAUUUAACAUUCGGUCACAAAAGGGAGUGUACAAUGAAAUGGUACACAUUUGUGUCUGAUAUCCUG